CGCCUGUAAACCUCUACACUUGGUACAGAGUGGACGGCGGCGAGUUGACGAGGACGGGGGAGGGACAGACGCUGGUCCUGAAGGUCACUCAGAAGGACAGCGGGGCUCAUCUGUGCGAAGCUCGAACCCAGAAGCUCUCCCAGCGGUCCGGACCUGUGACCCUGGAGGUCAGCGCCGCCACAGGCAGCAGGUUGGCGGCGGCGGCUCCCU